GUGUCAGCAGCCGCGGUAAUACGGAGGGUGCAAGCGUUAUCCGGAUUUAUUGGGUUUAAAGGGUGCGUAGGCGGUUUGAUAAGUCAGCGGUGAAAUAUUUCAGCUUAACUGGAAGGGUGCCGUUGAUACUGUCGAGCUUGAAUUUAGUUGCUGUGGGUGGAAUGUGUGGUGUAGCGGUGAAAUGCAUAGAUAUCACACAGAAUAUCGAUUGCGAAGGCAGCUCACAAAGCUAAUAUUGACGCUGAUGCACGAAAGUGUGGGGAUCAAACAGGAUUAGAUACCCUGGUAGUCCACACUGUAAACGAUGAUAACUCGCUGUCGGCGAUACACCGUCGGUGGCCAAGCGAAAGCGAUAAGUUAUCCACCUGGGGAGUACGACCGCAAGGUUGAA
rnacentral:rRNA from 1 species